rnacentral:rRNA from 1 species
UACGGAGGGGGCGAGCGUUAUUCGGAAUUAUUGGGCGUAAAGGGCGCGUAGGCGGCUUGAUAAGUCAAAGGUGAAAUCCCUCGGCUCAACUGAGGAACUGCCUUUGAAACUGUCAGGCUUGAGGCCGGGAGGGGGUAGCGGAAUUCCCAGUGUAGCGGUGAAAUGCGUAGAUAUUGGGAGGAACACCGGUGGCGAAGGCGGCUACCUGGACCGGUUCUGACGCUGAGGCGCGAAAGCGUGGGUAGCAAACAGG